rnacentral:rRNA from 1 species
CUACAGGGGUAUCUAAUCCUGUUUGCUCCCCUAGCUUUCGUUCCUCAGCGUCAGUUGCGGUCCAGCGAGCCGCCUUCGCCACGGGUGUUCCUGCAGAUAUCUACGCAUUUCACCGCUACACCUGCAAUUCCACUCGCCUCUCCCGCACUCUAGCACGGCAGUUUCGGAAGCAGCCUCUGAGUUAAGCCCAGAGAUUUCACUCCCGACUUGCCACACCGCCUACGAACCCUUUACGCCCAGUAAUUCCGAGCAACGUUGGCCCCCUACGUCUUACCGCGGCUGCUGGCAC